UCAAGUUUCGGGACGAAACUUCUUUUAAGAGGGGUAGAUUGUAAUCCCCCGUAAAUUUAUAAAUUUUAUUAAAUAUAUUUUAACAUAUAUUAUUUAUAUUUAAAUAGAAUUUAUGAAUUUUAGUAAUAAAUAUAUAAUUAACGUAUAUUUAUUUUAUUUAUUUUAUUUACGUUUUAAAUAUUUCAACGAAUUAGAAAAUUAAAAGUAAUUUUAGAAUUUUACGUUGAAAAGAAUUCGAAUUAUGAAAACGCGUCCGAUUGAAUUUGGAUAAACAAUCCUAACUAUUUUUGGAUUCAAACAACAUCAAUUCCAAUCCUAGCCCAAGUUUGCAAAGCCCAAUAAAGAAACCCAAACAAAAUUACCCAUACCUCUACUCUCCUUCAAUUCACGUAAAAGCAAAAACAAGAGAAGUCAAACCCUCCUUCCCUCCUAUUCUUUCACGUAAACCAGAAAACCCUCAAACCUUGGUACUCUCUGCCCCAGCCGCAGCCACCGUACACUCGCCGGACCGCCGCCGCGUUGUCGCACCGCCGAUCCCUCCGUCCGAACCGCCGCUGCCACCAGUGCUCGCCACCACGCAAGCCCAGCCGCGUUGCCAGUUCGCCGUCCUGUCUCACCGUCGCGCCUUGCCCCGCCAACUUCUUCUCCCUUUCUUCUUUCGCGGGUUACCACCGUAGGCGCACGCAACCACCACCCAGCAAGCCACCUGCUGCCGCACCGCCAUUGCCGCCGGCCAGCAGCCUUUCUCUCCUCCUUAAUUUUGGUGGAGAAUUCUCGUUAGGCGACUUUUGAAAGUGUUAAAGUGGCCUAUUAGUUUGUUUACACAAGUCUUUAAGGAUCAAUAAGCGUUGACCAUCUACAGGUUUGAAGAUGAUGCAUCAUUGGGAUCGGGAUUAGAGAGCUUGUAGUUCUAUUCGUUUAAUUAAGUGAU